UACGUAGGGUCCGAGCGUUGUCCGGAAUUACUGGGCGUAAAGAGCUCGUAGGUGGUUUGUCGCGUUGUUCGUGAAAACUCACAGCUCAACUGUGGGCGUGCGGGCGAUACGGGCAGACUAGAGUACUGCAGGGGAGACUGGAAUUCCUGGUGUAGCGGUGGAAUGCGCAGAUAUCAGGAGGAACACCGGUGGCGAAGGCGGGUCUCUGGGC
rnacentral:rRNA from 1 species